UACGGAGGGUGCAAGCGUUAUCCGGAUUCACUGGGUUUAAAGGGUGCGUAGGAGGGCAGGUAAGUCAGUGGUGAAAUCCCCGAGCUUAACUUGGGAACUGCCGUUGAUACUAUCUGUCUUGAAUAUCGUGGAGGUGAGCGGAAUAUGUCAUGUAGCGGUGAAAUGCUUAGAUAUGUCAUAGAACACCAAUUGCGAAGGCAGCUCGCUACACGAAUAUUGACUCUGAGGCACGAAAGCGUGGGGAGCAAACAGG
rnacentral:rRNA from 1 species